UAGCGGAAGUUUUCGGAUGGAAGCGGAUAUGACUUAGCGGCGGACGGGUGAGUAACGCGUGGAUAACCUGCCUCAUACAGGGGGAUAACAGUUAGAAAUGACUGCUAAUACCGCAUAAGCGCACAGGACCGCAUGGUCCGGUGUGAAAAACUCCGGUGGUAUGGGAUGGAUCCGCGUCUGAUUAGCUGGUUGGUGAGGUAACGGCCCACCAAGGCGACGAUCAGUAGCCGACCUGAGAGGGUGGCCGGCCACAUUGGGACUGAGACACGGCCCAAACUCCUACGGGAGGCAGCAGUGGGGAAUAUUGCACAAUGGGGGAAACCCUGAUGCAGCAACGCCGCGUGAGUGAAGAAGUAUUUCGGUAUGUAAAGCUCUAUCAGCAGGGAAGAAGAAAGACGGUACCUGACUAAGAAGCCCCGGCUAACUACGUGCCAGCAGCCGCGGUAAUACGUAGGGGGCAAGCGUUAUCCGGAUUUACUGGGUGUAAAGGGAGCGUAGACGGCUGUGCAAGUCUGAAGUGAAAGCCCGUGGCUCAACCGCGGAACUGCUUUGGAAACUGUAUAGCUUGAGUACUGGAGAGGCAGGCGGAAUUCCUAGUGUAGCGGUGAAAUGCGUAGAUAUUAGGAGGAACACCAGUGGCGAAGGCGGCCUGCUGGACAGAAACUGACGUUGAGGC
rnacentral:rRNA from 1 species